UCCCUGGUGGUCUAGUGGCUAGGAUUCAGCAUUUUCACUGCCAUAACCUAGGAUCGAUUCCCAGUCAGUGAA
rnacentral:tRNA from 1 species